GAUGAGCGCUGGCGGCGUGCCUAAUACAUGCAAGUCGAACGCAUUGUGGUUGAAAUGAUAUGAAGAACUUGUUCAGAUUUGAUUUUCAACAUUGCAAUGAGUGGCGAACGGGUGAGUAACACGUGGGAAACCUACCUCUUAGCAGGGGAUAACAUUUGGAAACAAAUGCUAAUACCGUAUAAUAAUUAAAACCGCAUGGUUUUAGUUUAAAAGAUGGUCUUGCUAUCACUAAGAGAUGGUCCCGCGGUGUAUUAGUUAGUUGGUGAGGUAAUGGCUCACCAAGACAAUGAUACAUAGCCGAGUUGGGAGACUGACCGGCCACAAUGGGACUGAGACACGGCCCAUACUCCUACGGGAGGCAGCAGUAGGGAAUCGUUCCACAAUGGACGAAAGUCUGAUGGAGCAACGCCGCGUGUGUGAUGAAGGGUUUCGGCUCGUAAAACACUGUUAGUAAGAGAAGAAUGACAUUGAGAGUAACUGUUCAAUGUGUGACGGUAUCUUAACC
rnacentral:rRNA from 1 species